rnacentral:rRNA from 1 species
UCUCCCACCACCUCCUCCUCCCGCUCGCCGGCGACGACGACCCCGCCGCCUCCUCCUCCGCCCUCACCUUCCCCUCCUUCUGGCCGCCCUUCCCCUCCCUCCUCUCCGACUCCGACUCCGACGCCGCGCCCUUCUUCCCUCCCCGCCGCAUGGACCGCUGCGUCGCCGCCCGGCAGGAGACCGCCGCGGCGUUCCUCGGCCUCGACUUCCACGACGAGGACUACGGCGCCGACUGGGCGGUGGCGCCGGACGAGCCCGGCCUGCCGCUCUGCUGGGACUGCCUGCAGCUGGAGGAGCACGACGCGCACCAGCGCUGGGACCUCGCGCUGAGCGACGCCGACGAGUGGGAGCAGGUCGCCGCCCGGGGCCACGAGGAGGCCCAGCCCCCCGCGCCGCGGAGCCUCGAGUGGGAGGUGCUCCUCGCCGCCAACAACCUGGGGAGCCUCUUGAUCGACGAGGACGUCGACGACGUCGGCGUCGGGGGCAUCGAGACGUAUUUCCUCGACGGCGCCGACGACGACGACAUGCUGUUCGGGCAGAUGGCCGCGGAGGCGGAGCACGAGGCCCCGGCCAAGGGCGGGCGGGCGGCCGCGAAGGCCGCCGUGGAGGGCCUCCCGACGGUGGUGGUCGCGGUCCGGGGCUGCGCGCAGUGCGCGGUGUGCAAGGACGGCAUCGAGGCCGGCGAGGGGGCCCGGAGGCUGCCGUGCGCGCACCUCUACCACGACGCCUGCAUCCUGCCGUGGCUCGCCAUCCGCAACACCUGCCCGCUGUGCCGCCACGAGCUGCCCACCGACGACCCCGAGUACGAGAAGUGGAAGGCCAGGCGGGCCGCCGGCGAUGCCGAUGCCGAUGCCAACGGCGACAGGUUCGGCAUCGCCGCCGGUCAUCCUGCUGAAUGA